rnacentral:rRNA from 1 species
GGCAUACGGCUCAGUAACGCGUAGUCAACCUACCCUAUGGACGGGGAUAAUCUCGGGAAACUGAGCAUAAUACCCGGCAGACCACUUAUCCUGGAAUGGUUAGUGGUUAAAAUGAUUCGUCGCCAUAGGAUGGGACUGCGGCCUAUCAGCUUGUUGGUGAGGUAAUGGCCCACUAAGGCGAUUACAGGUACGGGCUCUGAGAGGAGAGGCCCGGAGAUGGGUACUGAGACAAGGACCCAGGCCCUAUGGGGCGCAGCAGGCGAGAAAACUUUGCAAUGUGCGAAAGCACGACAAGGCUAAUCCGAGUGAUUUCUGCUAAAGGAAUCUUUUGUUAGUUCUAAAAAUACUAGUGAAUAAGGGGUGGGCAAGUUCUGGUGUCAGCCGCCGCGGUAAAACCAGCACCUCAAGUGGUCAGGAGGAUUAUUGGGCCUAAAGCAUCCGUAGCCUGUUCUAUAAGCUUGCGGUUAAAUCUAUACGCUCAACGUAUAGGCUGCCGUAAAUACUGUAGAACUAGGGAGUGGGAGAGGUAGACGGUACUCGAUAGGAAGGGGUAAAAUCCUUUGAUCUAUUGAUGACCACCUGUGGCGAAGG